GGCUCACGACGAACGCUGGCGGCGUGCCUAAUACCUGCAAGUCGAGCGAAUCAAUAGGAGCUUGCUCCUGUUGGUUAGCGGCGGACGGGUGAGUAACACGUGGGCAACCUGCCUGUAAGACUGGGAUAACUUCAGGAAACCGGAGCUACUACCGGAUAAUUCCUUUCCUCACAUGAGGGAAGGCUGAAAGACGGUUUCGGCUGUCACUUACAGAUGGGCCCGCGGCGCAUUAGCUAGUUGGUGAGGUAACGGCUCACCAAGGCGACGAUGCGUAGCCGACCUGAGAGGGUGAUCGGCCACACUGGGACUAAGACACGGCCCAUACUCCUACAGGAGGCAGCAGUAGGGAAUCUUCCGCAAUGGACGAAAGUCUGACGGAGCAACGCCGCGUGAGCGAUGAAGGCCUUCGGGUCGUAAAGCUCUGUUGUUAGGGAAGAACAAGUACCGGAGUAACUGCCGGUACCUUGACGGUACCUAACCAGAAAGCCACGGCUAACUACGUGCCAGCAGCCGCGGUAAUACGUAGGUGGCAAGCNGUUGUCCGGAAUUAUUGGGCGUAAAGCGCGCGCAGUGGUCCUUUAAGUCCGAUGUGAAAGCCCACGGCUCAUCCGUGUAGGGUCAUUGGAAACUGGGGGGACUUGAGCGCAGAAGAGGAAAGCGGAAUUCCACGUGUACGGUGAAAUGCGUAGAGAUGUGGAGGAACACCAGUGGCGAAGGUGCUUUCUGGUCUGUACUGACGCUGNAGCGCGAAGCGUGGGGAGCACACAGGAUUAGNUACCCUGGUAUCCACGACGUCAACGAUGAGGGCUAAUUGUAGAGGUUCCGCCCUUUAAUGAUGCUGCCUACGCAUUAAGCAUUCCACCU
rnacentral:rRNA from 1 species